GUCUCUUUCUAUUUCUUCAAUAGAAAACUUCAACGAACAUGACUACAUCGGAGAUCAGAUCGGACGACGACGGCGAUGAGAUCGGAGAUCGGACGAAGACGGCGACGAGAUCGAGAGAUCAGACGACCGACGGCGACGAGAUCAGAGAUCGGAUGACGACUGCGAUCCUUCUCUCACCUCUCACUCUCUAUCCUCGUUAUGCUCGCAUCUCCCUCUUUCCCCAUCGUGUUCAUCUGCAAACGCAAAUGAAAUGACUUGCUGUGGAGGUCUGCUUAAAGCCAUCAAGAACUGCCCGUCUUGAGGACAUUCAGAGAGCUGUUGAACGGAUGCUGGAAAAUAGGAGCAUGAGCUAUGUGGAUGGCCUUGUUCUCAUACCUCCACACGAAUUGUUCUUUGUUGAAAAUGUGCAUUUGUGACACAGAGGAAUGGGUGAAAAAUAAUGAUGUUCUCUUGUUCUGGCAACCUUUUGUCCAUUCCUUUCAGUUAACUGUAAGGAGCUGGGCCCUGAUGGACAACUUUCUAGCUUUAAUGAAUGGAUUCUACCUGCUAAGGAGUUUGAUGGCUUGUGGGAAAGCUUGAUAUAUGAAUCAGGACUCAAGCAACGGUUACUACGUUAUGCCGCAAGUGCUUUGCUGUUUACACAUAAGGGUUUGUUGGUUGAAUUUAUAAGGGGUUAUAAAGGAACAACGAGGGUUUGUUGAUUUUCAUGAUCACUGGAUCAAAGUACAACAAAAAAGACAAUAAUAUCAAUGAUCAUACUCUGUAAUCAAAUAAUCUAACAUUUAAACUGUUUGGUAGAUCAAAAGCUCUAAUGUACGUUGUAUUGUGGAAAGAUAAACAAACAACUCUUACAAGUCAAUACACUUAAUUAAAGAGAAAAAAAAAUUGUAAGGGUUUGUGGGUCAUUUAUAGAAACUAAUAAAUCAUUUGUAAGGGUUUA